rnacentral:tRNA from 1 species
GCACCCAUAGCUCAAUUGGAUAGAGCACCUGACUACGGAUCAGGAGGUUAGUGGUUCGACUCCACUUGGGUGUACCA